ACGAACGCUGGCGGCGUGGAUAAGACAUGCAAGUCGAACGGGAGAAUUGCUAGCUUGCUAAUAAUUCUCUAGUGGCGCACGGGUGAGUAACACGUGAGUAACCUGCCUCUUAGUGGGGGAUAGCCCUGGGAAACCGGGAUUAAUACCGCAUACGAUUGAAAGAUCAAAGCAGCAAUGCGCUAGGAGAUGGGCUCGCGGCCUAUUAGUUAGUUGGUGAGGUAACGGCUCACCAAGGCGAUGACGGGUAGCCGGUCUGAGAGGAUGUCCGGCCACACUGGAACUGAGACACGGUCCAGACACCUACGGGUGGCAGCAGUCGAGAAUCAUUCACAAUGGGGGCAACCCUGAUGGUGCGACGCCGCGUGGGGGAAUGAAGGUCUUCGGAUUGUAAACCCCUGUCAUGUGGGAGCAAAUUAAAAAGAUAGUACCACAAGAGGAAGAGACGGCUAACUCUGUGCCAGCAGCCGCGGUAAUACAGAGGUCUCAAGCGUUGUUCGGAAUCACUGGGCGUAAAGCGUGCGUAGGCUGUUUCGUAAGUCGUGUGUGAAAGGCAGGGGCUCAACCCCUGGAUUGCACAUGAUACUGCGAGACUAGAGUAAUGGAGGGGGAACCGGAAUUCUCGGUGUAGCAGUGAAAUGCGUAGAUAUCGAGAGGAACACUCGUGGCGAAGGCGGGUUCCUGGACAUUAACUGACGCUGAGGCACGAAGGCCAGGGGAGCGAAAGGGAUUAGAUACCCCUGUAGUCCUGGCAGUAAACGGUGCACGCUUGGUGUGCGGGGAAUCGACCCCCUGCGUGCCGGAGCUAACGCGUUAAGCGUGCCGCCUGGGGAGUACGGUCGCAAGAUUAAAACUCAAAGAAAUUGACGGGGACCCGCACAAGCGGUGGAGUAUGUGGCUUAAUUCGAUGCAACGCGAAGAACCUUACCUGGGCUUGACAUGUAAUGAACAACAUGUGAAAGCAUGCGACUCUUCGGAGGCGUUACACAGGUGCUGCAUGGCCGUCGUCAGCUCGUGUCGUGAGAUGUUUGGUUAAGUCCAGCAACGAGCGCAACCCCUGUUGCCAGUUACCAGCACGUCAAGGUGGGGACUCUGGCGAGACUGCCCAGAUCAACUGGGAGGAAGGUGGGGACGACGUCAGGUCAGUAUGGCCCUUAUGCCCAGGGCUGCACACGUACUACAAUGCCCAGUACAGAGGGGGCCGAAGCCGCGAGGCGGAGGAAAUCCUGAAAACUGGGCCCAGUUCGGACUGUAGGCUGCAACCCGCCUACACGAAGCCGGAAUCACUAGUAAUGGCGCAUCAGCUACGGCGCCGUGAAUACGUUCCCGGGUCUUGUACACACCGCCCGUCACAUCAUGGAAGCCGGUCGCACCCGAAGUAUCUGAAGCCAACCGCAAGGAGGCAGGGUCCUAAGGUGAGACUGGUAACUGGGAUG
rnacentral:rRNA from 1 species